UUCACAGUUCUGGAGACUGAAUCCUCUUUCUUUGCCCAGAAAACCAAUACAGCACAAAGCAGAGGGAGUGUGAGCUUCCCCACUCCACCCCAUCAUUGUGUCUCAUCUAUGACCUAGAAGGGCAACCUCUAGGCAUGAGCAGCCAGUUCAGUUUCUGUACUUAUUUAAUCCUUGGCCAAC
rnacentral:sRNA from 1 species